rnacentral:rRNA from 1 species
GUAGGUGGCAAGCGUUGUCCGGAAUUAUUGGGCGUAAAGCGCGCGCAGGCGGUCUUUUAAGUCUGAUGUGAAAGCCCACGGCUCAACCGUGGAGGGUCAUUGGAAACUGGGGGACUUGAGUACAGAAGAGGAAAGCGGAAUUCCAAGUGUAGCGGUGAAAUGCGUAGAGAUUUGGAGGAACACCAGUGGCGAAGGCGGCUUUCUGGUCUGUAACUGACGCUGAGGCGCGAAAGCGUGGGGAGCAAACAGGAUUAGAUACCCUGGUAGUCCACGCCGUAAACGAUGAGUGCUAAGUGUUAGGGGGUUUCCCGCCCCCUUAGUGCUGCAGCUAACGCAUUAAGCACUCCGCCUGGGGAGUACGGCCGCAAGGCUG